CAAUUGGAGAGUUUGAUCCUGGCUCAGAACGAACGCUGGCGGCGUGCCUAACACAUGCAAGUCGAGCGCGAAUAGGGGCAACCCUUAGUAGAGCGGCGCACGGGUGCGUAACACGUGGAUAAUCUGC
rnacentral:rRNA from 1 species